CUGGAAUGAUGAGAUUCCACUUCAUUGGUCCGUGUUUCUGAAACACCGUGAUUGUGUGGAAGUUCUGACUCG
ensembl:snoRNA SNORD18 Small nucleolar RNA SNORD18